AAACCUUGCCAACUUACGUGCCGCUUAC
rnacentral:sRNA from 1 species